ACCCCCUAGCAAUGGGCAAAGCGACACCUUGUUGGUGGUGUUGUUCUUAUAUCAGUCAGGGACAGAGCAGCCAAUAGUCCUUUGUUCAUCCUAGCUUUGGAGCCUAGCUUGAUAGCCAAAGCUGUUUUCUGCCUAGAACACAUAA
ensembl:snoRNA small nucleolar RNA SNORA48